GGAUUUGAGACAUUGGCAAUGUGCAAAGUCAUGACUGGUGGUGGUAGAGUUUCUAAUGGUGAUGCUGGGUGGAACCCCCUAGGAAAAUGGGCCAACGUUAGCCAAGAGUUGCUGAGAGAACACAAAGGGUACCCAAAGGGGUGAGCAAAAGUUGCCUUCUGAGAUGCUCAUGAAAACCAAGAUCAUGGGGAUGGCUGAUUAGACCUCUUCAGACACCAAGC